rnacentral:lncRNA from 1 species
GGUUUGAACCGAGACCAACAGUCGAAAUCAAAACUGGAAGAAACCGCCGGUCCAAAUCGAAUCGGUCAAGUCACGGAGUGAGAACAAACGAGCUGCUCACACAGUCGAGGAAUUGAGUGGGAUCAUAAACCUGGAACGAUUGUCUUGCAAACCCUACUUCCAAAUUCGCUGAGUCGGCUACGCUACUCACCAGCGAACUGGGGAGACUUACUGUUGGGUAUGGGCUUGGCCCUCCCAAAAGGCCCACAAGACAAUUAUCCAGACACAUGAUCACAACAAAGAAAUUCGGCUUGUCGACUUGCGAGCCGGUGAUCGGCUCGGCUUUAGACUGCUUUUGAUCAGCGAGACGACCAACUGAAAGUCGUCGGCUCGAUGACUCGAGUCAGCGGCCCGACACCUCGGCCCAACCGCUCGAGGAGGCCCAUCAGGACAUAGCACAUUAGAGCAUGUGUCUAUAAAAGGAGGAGAAAAUGCAACAAAGAGGGAAUC